rnacentral:tRNA from 1 species
GAGGGUAUAGCUCAGUGGUAGAGCGUGUGCUUAGCAUGCAUGAGGUCCUGGGUUCAGUCUCCAGUAACUCCA